AUUGAACGCUGGCGGCAGGCCUAACACAUGCAAGUCGAACGAGUGGCGGACGGGUGUGUAAUGUCUGGGACACGGCCUGAUGGAGGGGGAUAACUACUGGAAACGGUAGCUAAUACCGCAUACCAUCGGAUGUGCCCCGAUGGGAUUAGCUGGUAGGUGGGGUAAAGGCUCACCAGGGCGACGAUCCCUAGCUGGUCUGAGAGGAUGACCAGCCACACUGGAACUGAGACAAGGUCCAGACUCCUACGGGAGGCAGCAGUGGGGAAUAUUGCACAAUGGGCGCAAGCCUGAUGCAGCCAUGCCGCGUGUAUGAAGAAGGCCUUCGGGUUGUAAAGUACUUUCAGCGGGGAGGCGUUACCCGCAGAAGAAGCACCGGCUAACUCCGUGCCAGCAGCCGCGGUAAUUC
rnacentral:rRNA from 1 species